GACGAACGCUGGCGGCGUGCCUAAUACAUGCAAGUAGAACGCAGUUGCGAACUGGUGAGUAACGCGUAGGUAACUGCCUCAUAGCGUGGCAUGACUAUUGGAAACGAUAGCUAAUACCGCAUACUGUGAGAUGGCCCUGCGUUGUAUUAGCUAUUUGGUGGGGUAAAGGCUCACCAAGGCUAAGGUACAUAGCCGACCCGAGAGGGUGAACGGGCACAAUGGGACUGGGACACGGCCCCGAACUCUAAGGGAGGCAGCCGUAGGGAAACUUUGGCAAUGGACGGAAGUCUGAACGGGCAAAGCCGCGUGAGUGAAGAAGGUUUUCGGAUCGUAAAGCUCUGUUGUUAGAGAAGCGGUAACUAAGCAGAAAGGGACGGCUAACUACGUGCCAGCAGCCGCGGUAAUUC
rnacentral:rRNA from 1 species